rnacentral:rRNA from 1 species
UACGUAGGGUGCAAGCGUUGUCCGGAAUUAUUGGGCGUAAAGAGCUCGUAGGCGGUCUGUCGCGUCUGCUGUGAAACUCAGGGCUUAACCCUGAGCUUGCAGCGGGUACGGGCAGACUAGAGUGCGGUAGGGGAGACUGGAAUUCCUGGUGUAGCGGUGAAAUGCGCAGAUAUCAGGAGGAACACCGAUGGCGAAGGCAGGUCUCUGGGCCAUAACUGACGCUGGAGAAGCGGAAAAGCAUGGGGAGCGAACAGG